AAACUUGGCUAUCUCAACUCAAAACUAAUGUUAAGUUACCACUGACAAUGCCCAAAACAAGAACAACAAAGGCCCAAAGGUGGCUGUUUGGUAGUGCGCAAAGCUGCUGGUGGUGGUGGACGUCUCUGCCCUGACGCGCGGCGUGCGUCUGCUCAGUGUGGAGGUGCCGCUGACAGCGGUGCCGGCCGGACCGGCUGCCUCUCCGGCGGCCGACAUUGAGCGCGGCACGUGUCCGCCGCCGUUCGGGCCGCUGCAGCUGCUGCAGUCGGCGGCGCAGCUGUCCGUCUUCG
rnacentral:lncRNA from 1 species